CAAUCUCAUUUGGUGGCAGAUACGCUUUCCUGUGAUUUAUUUACGGAUGACCUUGCUUUUUAUGAGUCCUUCGCAAACCGGCUGGAAUUACAGAUGACCUUGCUCUUCAUGAGUCCGAAAAGAGUGUCCGAGUUAUUGAAGUCAGGCCAAAGUAUGUUUUCCAUCUUUACCACUGUCUUGGGGGUAGAGUAGUAUGCAAACUAGCAAAUGUUAAUUGUUGGGGAACGUUGUGUGGAUAUCUGAGAGUAGAACACGGUGCAAAGCAAAUGUUGUUCGCUAUUGCUGUCUGUGUGUUAUCAUUUCCAUUUGUUCGUCAGAGUUGCUGAGUAUAUUAGUCGAUGUCUCAGCUUCUCUUUUCGAUAAGAGAUCAUGGAAUUAGUCAGGUUAGUUGGACGUUUUGAGAUGUGUAGCACUUGCCAAUCUCAUUUUCUUAUCCGGAAAAGACAACGAAUCGGCCAACUAUCAUGCCAUUGCUAGCAACCACUGUGGUAUCAGAAAAGGAGUAUCUCAGUUGUCUUUUGAGUGCAGAAUACAAUACUAAGUACAUGUUUGUUGACUGGAUGAAGGCGUGAAGUUUAUCUUAGAGUAGUAGAGGUGAUCCCUGCAGUCUUUGUUCUACUCUGCAAGGACGCAUCCGAAUAUCCCACUUCACUCAAUUCUUUUUCAAUCUGAUCAUAGUGCUGUCUCCACACGUGCAUCAGAAAAAGCUCUACUCAUGUGCAACCCUUUACACAUAUUCUGGAUGGCGACGUCAAGAUUGGAGCGGAAGUUUCAUCAGUGGACUAACAUUUUUGCUCCAUCUUCCUCUCCAUGCCUCAAAUCGCUCACCCUAACUUUCUCUCUCUCCCUGUCUCUCUCCCUCUCUCUCCUGGCAAGAGGAAGAAGAAGGAGAAGGGGAAGCAGAAGAAAAGGUGAGCUCAAUUCGGAUUGAUACUCCUUUGUCCCCUUUUCCCCUUUUUCACCGAUGAUUCUCUCAAAUUGAACCUGUUCCUUCCGGAUCAUGGGAAUUGAUUUGCCAAAAGAGUAGCGUUUUCUCAUCGUCAUCUUCUUUUUCGCAUUUGGAACAAGCCUGGGAAGUGGAGUGCCCUUCGAUCACCGAGAUACUGGACCUGGUUGCCGGUGAAGUCACUGCUCCAGUGCAGGUGCGUGUCCAAAUGGUGCCGUCACUUGACAGAGAGCCAUCUUUUCAUGGAGCCACACCUCUGCCUCUUCUGCAGGGAUCCCCCAAGUCUCUACUGUAUCGAUCUGCAUCCCCCGGGUGACAUGGUGGAGAUAAGAGUACCCUCUCGGGUGGGAACUGAUCAAGGUGCUAGGGGCUUGCCGUGACUGACUUUGCAUUUCCUGAGCACACAACCACGACGUUGCUAUGUGGACUCUGUUCACUGGGGAUCAUGAGCUCUUGCCUCCUGAAGAUACUCAGAUAGGCGGUGGAUUGUUUCCCUCUGCUUGCGUUAAUGGAUUUGGGUAUGAUGAUGAGAAUGAUGAUUGCGUGUUGGUGAGGCUAAUUCAGACACUUAAAGGGGCAUUUGAACCUCAAGUUAGCAUCUAUAGAUCGGGAGCUAACGCCUGCGUGCUGCUCCAGGAGAUCGAGAUCCCAUACUAUCUGGAUUUAAUGGACAAAAGUGGGGUUUUCGUGCGCGGCCACGCACUUGUGCACUGGAUAAUGAGACGCGAAUGGGCGCCGAAUUCGGCAAAAGUGUUGGUGGCUGUUGAUUUUCAUGCUAACAAUUUGUGGAGGUGGACCAGCUUGAUUUUAUAGAGAAUACGCUCGACAUUGAUUUGGCUGUCGGGCGUCUUUGCCUUAUCAUUCAUGGUUAGCAAGGGGUGUUGAUGUGUGGAUUAUAAGAUAAUAUGGAUUGAACGGACCAUGGGAUUUGUUGUUCUCGAUACCUGGCUACCCGAGGGGUUUGGGGCUUGUUCAGCCAUUGGCUUUCUCCCAGGAUGGUGAUUGAGUUUUGGUGGGAGUGGGCAGUGACUCUCAUUUGGUGCGAUUUACAGACCGACGUAGUCGAGGAGUUAGAUAUAAUGGGCAUGCCAGGUUUCUUUGACGCAGAAAUUUGUUUGUGAAUCCAUGCUCCGGCCGAUUGAUUAUGGACAACCCGCUGAGAUGAGGAGAGAACUUGUAUAACAUGACGAAGCUGGACUCUGUAAGAGCUGAACACUAUAAGACGAUGAAGGCAUGUCAGAUGCAUGGGACGCUUCGGUCACCUCAUUCAAACCCAGAGGAUGCUUUUGAAGAUGACUUGGGUUGCGUACUUCCUGAGGCAGAUUGUGAGGGUAUUGUUGAUUGUAUAAAGAAGUCUGUCACUUCUUCACAAAACUAAGGCUAAAAAGGGGAGCGACAACCUAAAAUUUUAGGGUUUUGUAUAGUUAUUGGAUAAAGAGAUGAUAUAGUGAAAUCAUUACAAAUGUCAUAGUUAAGAAUAAUGAAUGUCUUUGCAUCACUUUUCCAUUAUUUUGCGCUGUAUCUUUGUGAAAUUCAGGGUCUUCGUUUCUGUCAAAGAUAUAGUCAGUGCUCCUGGAUUCUUGUAAGCCCACAUGCAUUACUCUUUGAACUCUUUUCGUUCACCCCGAGUAAUCCAGCAAUCCAAUUCUAGGUUGAACUGAUUAAAGGGUAAAAAAAUUUCUUGGCGAUUUUCGAUUAUCUUGCACUCUUUGAUGAUGCAAUUAGUCCUUCCCUUCAGAUGCACUGUUAAAAGCAUUGAGUUUCUGUUUCUGAUAAUUUUGAAUGGGAAUGAAAAGGUAAGAGAGAAUGUGUAUGAGGAGCAAUUGGUGAAGUUUUGAACUCAUAUUUGGAAUUACUUUCCCUUCACAUAUUUGGGAUUUAUUUUCAUGUUAGCACAAGUUCUUCCGGCGGGAGAUGUAGAAGUGUAUUAAGCUCUAGAUUCAUUUCACCUCCCAUGGCUUCCACAGUUAUGAUCUGAGGUUGGACAGACUGUUGAAUUGAACAGGUCCAGAUAUGGUGCAUAAAACUGGAAGCAAGUCUUCUUGCAUUUACAGGAAAGCAAAUAUUCGUUCUGUCAAGAACCAUCCUGGAUCUAGCACUCAUGUUGUGUAUCUUGAUCUUUAAUGCAACUGAGGAGUCUGACAUUUGGAAGCUCCAUUGGUUAGACGUAUGCGCAUCAUCGUAGAUCAUCUGAGAUAUUGGCGAUGGCUCAUCUCUUAACACUGUAAGAAGAUGAAGGCACGUCAGACACAUGGGACGCUUCGGUCACCUCAUUCAAACCCAGAGGAUGCUUUUGAAGAUGAGUUGGGUUGCGUAAUUGUAUAAAGAAAUCUGUCACUUCUUCACAAAACUAAGGCUUAAAAGGGGAGUGACAACCUACGAUUUUAACUACAAUUGUAAGGUUUUGUAUAGUUAUUGUAUAAAGAGACGAUAUAGUGAAAUCGUUACAGUAUGUCAUAGUUAAGAAUAAUGAAUGUCUUUGCAACCCUUUUCCAUUAUUUUGCACUGUAUUUUUGCGAAAUUCUGGGUUUUCGUUUUUGUCAAAGAUACAGUUAGUGCUCCUGGAUUCUUGAAAGCCCACAUGCAUUACUCUUC